rnacentral:rRNA from 1 species
CGGCGCCCGACCUCCAACCCUGUGUCUACAUUACCCACUGUUGCCUCGGCGGGCCGUCGAAAGUCUAGCGAUAGGCCCAGCCGUCGGCCCCUCAAUAGGGGGCCCUCGAGCGCCCGUCGAAGGACCUUAUUAAACCAAUUUGAAACGAGCCUUCUGAGUAAAAUUUUAAUACUUCAAAACUUUCAACAACGGAUCUCUUGGUUCUGGCAUCGAUGAAGAACGCAGCGAAAUGCGAUAAGUAUUGUGAAUUGCAGAAUUCAGUGAAUCAUCGAAUCUUUGAACGCACAUUGCGCCCCUUGGUAUUCCGGAGGGCAUGCCUGUUCGAGCGUCAUUUAAACAACCUCAAGCACUGCUUGGCAUUGGGUCUAUCGUCCCCGCUGUGGACGGACCCUGAAAGACCUCGGCGGCGGCGCGAAGCCUCAAGCGUAGUAGAAAUAUCCCGCUUUGGAGACUCCGUGACCGCUCGCUCCUAAAAACCCAUACCUCAAAUGUUGACCUCGGAUCAGGUAGGGAUACCCGCUGAACUUAAGCAUAU